rnacentral:misc_RNA from 1 species
UGGCCUCUCCCUCUGCCUCCACACUUUUUCUCACUUCAUUUACCAUUUCUCUGCUUAUUUCAAAUCUUAUUCUUUACCCAAAUGGAGAGCCUCACCUUGACUGGGUUGUUGAACAAAUCUGCAACUGAAUUUCCCAAUCAUCGCGCUCUUUCCGUUUCUGGUAAACUCGAUUUGACGCACUCUCAAUUGCGACACCUCGUUGAUCAUGCCGCUUCUCUCCUUAUCGCUUCCGGUGUCAAUCCUGGCGAUGUCGUCGCUCUCACUUUCCCAAACACGGUCGAGUUUGUGGUGAUGUUUUUGGCCGUUAUAAGGUGCCGAGUCACGGCUGCGCCGCUAAACGCCGCUUACACAGCCGAGGAAUUCGAGUUUUACCUUUCCGACUCCGAAUCAAAGCUCCUCAUUACGUCACCAGAAGGCAUCGAAUCGGCUCUAGCCGCUGCUUCCAAGCUCAACAUACCUCAUGGGGCAGCUACGUUCCACUUGAAAACGAAAACAAUAACCCUCUCUUCGUCAAAUACCGAGUCAAAUGU